rnacentral:tRNA from 1 species
AUAUUUUAAGGUUUUUUACCUUCUUAAUAUCUUCAAUAUUAUACUUUAAAAUAAGCUAUUAAAAUA